rnacentral:rRNA from 1 species
GUCAGCAGCCAUAUCACCCUGCAACUCACAACUGGCAAUCCACUGAAGCUAAGCAGGUAAGAGACUGGUCAGUACCUGGGUAGGAGACCUCCUGGGAAAAACUAAGGUUGCUGCUGGAA